rnacentral:rRNA from 1 species
GAUGAACGCUGGCGGCGUGCCUAAUACAUGCAAGUCGAGCGAAUGGAUUAAGAGCUUGCUCUUAUGAAGUUAGCGGCGGACGGGUGAGUAACACGUGGGUAACCUGCCCAUAAGACUGGGAUAACUCCGGGAAACCGGGGCUAAUACCGGAUAAUAUUUUGAACUGCAUGGUUAAAAAUUGAAUGGCGGCUUCAGCUGUCACUUAUGGAUGCACCCGCGUCGCAUAGCUAGUUGGUGAGGUAACGGCUCACCAAGGCAAAGAUGCGUAGCCGACCUGAGAGGGUGAUCGGCCACCCUGGGACUGAGACACGGCCCAGACUCCUACGGGAGGCAGCAGUAGGUAAUCUUCCGCAAUGGACGAAAGUCUGACGGAGCAACGCCGCGUGAGUGAUGAAGGCUUUCGGGUCGUAAAACUCUGUUGUUAGGGAAGAACAAGUGCUAGUUGAAUAAGCUGGCACCUUGACGGUACCUAACCAGAAAGCCACGGCUAACUACGUGCCAGCCGCCGCAGUAA